UUUUCUUCAGGUGCAACCCCAAGAGCUGGUUCUGAAAGACCCCCGGAGCGGGGAGACCCUCACUCAAGUCUCAGGAGAUGCGACCCCCCAAGAACUCACGUGAAACC
rnacentral:pre_miRNA from 14 species